CUACGGGAGGCAGCAGUGGGGAAUAUUGGACAAUGGGCGAAAGCCUGAUCCAGCCAUGCCGCGUGUGUGAAGAAGGCCUUCGGGUUGUAAAGCACUUUCAGUGGGGAAGAAAGCCUUGGGGCUAAUACCCUCGAGGAAGGACAUCACCCACAGAAGAAGCACCGGCUAACUCCGUGCCAGCAGCCGCGGUAAUACGGAGGGUGCGAGCGUUAAUCGGAAUUACUGGGCGUAAAGCGCGCGUAGGCGGUCUGAUAAGCCGGUUGUGAAAGCCCCGGGCUCAACCUGGGAACGGCAUCCGGGACUGUCAGGCGAGAGCGCCGGAGAGGAAAGUAGAAGUCCGGGUGUAGCAGUGAAAUGCGUAGAGAUAGGGAGGAAUACCAGUGGGGAAGGAGGACUUCUGGAAGGAAACUGACGCUGAGGUGCGAAAGCGUGGGUAGCAAACAGGAACAGAUAACCGUGUAGUC
rnacentral:rRNA from 1 species